GGGUCUUGGGGAAGGGGUGGCAGGCACUAUGUCUGGCCACGGAAGUGGCAAGAAGAAGCCCCUGAAACAGCCCAAGAAGCAGGCCAAAGAGAUAGAUGAGGAAGAUAAGGCUUUCAAGCAGAAACAAAAAGAGGAGCAGAAGAAACUUGAGGAGCUAAAAACGAAGGCCACGGAGAAGGGCCCCCUGGCCACAGGUGGAAUUAAGAAAUCUGGCAAGAAGUAAGUUGUUCCUUGUGCCUGAGAUGAUGGUGACCCUUAUUCCAUUCCUAUUUAAACAUCUGGAUUCCCUGCAUAACAUCUUUUGCCACCUAUAGCCAGAAUGAAGUGUUGCAUUAAGAGUCUGUUGUACAUUUAAGAAUAAACAACUUUUAGC